GGCAGCGCGUCGCCCCGAGGCCGGCGCCGAGGGUGCGGUGGGGGGAGCUGCCCGCCCGCGCCUUCCGCCCGGCUGCCCUGGGCCGUGGCUGGCGGCAGCGGCUGAAGCCCCGCGCCCUCUGGCCGGCAGCGGAGAAGGAGGUGGCGGUGGAGUUGGGCUGCGCGGCGGAGACGGCGGCCGAGCUGCGGGCCGUCUGCAGCAAUGUAGAGCUUGUCGUGUAGCAUCUGGGCACGUGAACUGAUAAACAGUACCAGCACGAGAAGGGGAGAACCAUUGUGUUGUAGAGCAGGAGGACCUAACUUGUUACAGCAGAAAGACGUCGGACUUCCGGAUCGGGUGAACAGGGAGAAUCAUCUGCGCUUACCCAUCCUGUAGACAAGGCAAGAUUUCAUGCAGCAGUGCCCCACAGAAAGCAUCACAAUUGGUGAUUUGUCUAUAGCUCAUCAGUAGCAAAGACAUGCCAAGAGUUUUGCUGUUUUGAGUAUGGCUUUGUGCAAGCCCUGUUCCGCAGUUACUGUUUUUGCAAAGGUAGAGAAGUAUGUACAGGUUACAGGCAAGAUGGCAAGAUGGAAGUGGCUCAUUCUCAUGCACUGAACAGAGUGAACUUUGUCCCGGUUGUGCUUAACCCUGGCAGGCAGAUGUGACUAGAAGCUGCUCCUGUGUGGCCAGGGGAUCAGAAUCAGAGAAGUGAAAUAUCCUAUAAUGGCUUGAGGGUAACAUCUACAGAACAGCUGCAUAACCCUUUUUGUCUUAUCAACAUCUAAAACCAGAGCAAGAUUUAUCUUAGAAACUUUGUCUGUUAAGGAUCUCUACAAAUCUGCCUCCUUUUAUUUUGAAUGCAUCUUUUAUAAUGAUUGAAGAUACCUGGAGUGCAGAGAUCUUAGCAGGCUUAUUCAUCGUGACUGCCUGGACAGGAACCUCCAUCCAUUGUUGAUCAAGAGACACUGAUUAUGUACCAGAAAAUGUUUUGUAUACAAAAUGUAUGCAGCAAGGUACGUCAGCCCACCACUGGCCUGUUCAUUUUGAAAACGGAGUGGUAAGCCCUGCAGCGUGAUAGUUCUUAUCCUUCAGGAGUCUGCAGCAGAGGAACUGCCCUGCCCACAGCAACAGCUGGCACCUGUUACACAGUUUGGGUUUGGCAGCUCCGCCGUGCUGCAACAGCUGCUUUGAAACCCCCCUGCAAUACAUCUUUGUUUGCAGCUUCUGCAUUUUCCUCCUCGUCCUCAUCUUUUUCCCAGCACCAUCCUCUGUCUGCUGCGUCCUGACAGCAUAUGGGCUUCCCAGUCCUCUUCAGUAUUGGAGCUGUGAUUACCGAUGACAGUAUUUCAGCCCACCUACACCCAUGUGCGCCUGUGAAGACAGGCUGUUUUCAUUACUAAGCAGACACGUAAGUUUUCCUAUUUAAUAGUUAAACUUGGGCAAAUAGUAAACUGCCAAAAAAUAGCCGGUCAAUAAGGCUUCUGAAUGCAGAGUAACGGAGCAUUGUCUGCUAAUGACAAAGGAAGCACGUGGUGUGCAGCAUGGGAAUUUUUAAGCGUAAUUCUUGGAAGGGUAGAAGUGACUGCAAUGUCUGCGGUGUCCGCACGGGAAGAGCGGCCGCAGCAGCUGGCAGCCUGCAGGCAGCGUGUGAAGGCUGGUUUUAGCAGCUGUGGCAUAAGAAGUACAACGAUGUAUCGAAUUGUUUUUUGCUUAUGGUACCGUUUUAAUUACAUAUACGACAUCGCUAAUACUAUACAAAUAAGGGGUUGCUCAUUUGUUAACUUUUUUAUUCCACCGUGGCUUUAACAUUUUUGUUGCCCUCUUCUUUACAUUUAAUUAAUAAGUAUUUAAAAAGGUUUAGUCACUGUGACAUCAAGUGAUUCGACUUAAAUGACAAAACAAAAAGGUUACAGUAAGUCGUAGUUUUUAAAGAUACUUGAAUCCCCAGGUGCUGUCCCAUGGCAGCCAGGCCUGAUCCUCACUUAAUGUUUAUUUCUGAGUGAAAUCGAACACUGGACCCAGCUGUCCAUUCAUAGUUAAAUUUCUACUACAUUGCUCAGUAUUUGAGUUUUAGCUUAUUGGUAAAUGCUGUUAAAAUUCAGAGAUCACAACUUCUGAUCUUUCUUUUUACCGUUACUUUUUAAUCUAUUUUUUUAGCAUGAACAAAUUUUUAUUCAGGAGAUAAGUAUACGGAUUUUUUUUUUUUCUUCCUGAACUUCAUAAUGCUUUUCAAACUUAAAAGCAUGGAGUUAGUUACGGCACUCUAAAAUACAGAGCUAGGAAGAAUUACUAAAUAAAAGGCAUUCACCUGAUUCUCUGGUUGCCUUUUUAAAUACUUAAUGAUUUGGCAGCGUGAGCCCUUACAACUUGUUUCACACUUCCAGAAGGUCUUGGUGAUUCUCUCCUAAUGAAGGGCUUUGCUUUGCUAGCAGGAUGGCUAUGCAGGAUGCUGUCCCCAGGCUGAGGAGGGGAAAAGGUCUAUCUGCUCAGCCACCUUGGAACGUGAAAUAUUCAAGUUUCUUAUGGUUUGUAAAUGUGCAGUGAACUCAGGUAGUGAAAGCCAAAGCAGCUGAGGGGGUAGAGCUUCACGUCAGUGACUUGCAGCAUGCAGCUGGUAGAGCUCCAUCUCUGCUUUCAUCUCAGUUAACCCUUUGAAAUGGAAGCAUGGUUGACUCCUUAUCUUUUUAAUAGUUGUGAAACACAGAUGUAUCCUGGCUUAUUUACAGGUUUGUUUUUUUUCCUAAUAGUGUGAAAACAAGGUGGUUUUUCACAUACUUGUGGAAUAUAGCUACUCUUUGGUAAAAAUGGGUUUUGAUGGAAUGGUCAAAAUCUGGAGAUGCCUGUGUGAGAGUUCCUGUUUAUUUGGAAUUAGCGUCUUUCUAUAAAGACUUUUUGAGGGUAAAAAUAGAACCUCCUGUAGUUUCCCAGGGCAACAGCUACCUGUCCUGACAACUGUUUGUAGAAAUCUGCGAAUUCCAGUCUGCAGUGACUACCUGCAUUUGGAAGCCGACUGAGAAUGCUGUUUUCCUUUGAUCUGCCUCAGUGGCCACAUUAGUCUGUCCCCGGAACGACAGUCUGUUGUGUAGCACUACUUAUCACUGACAUCAAAGAUCUGCAGAGGCCAGCGGCCACCUGCCGAGAACAACCUGGUGCUGGACUUGCUGUGACUGUAACGCCGUUCCUCCAGUCAAACCUGGAGUGGUGAGAUCUGAAAGCUAUUCAAUAUCACGAUACCCAAACCUACCAUUUUGCUAGAUAAAUGCAUGUGCAUUGUGUACAUGAAAAACUUUGCAAGCAAUUUUAGUGUGUAGUUUUAGAAUUAUUUGGUUUUACUUUUGUGGGGGAGGAGAUUCCUGUAUUCAGAAUCUCAGGAUUGUUGUAACCUAAGACUUCUUUCCAUGCUGAGAUUUAACUUCUUAUAAUCACGUAAGUGGAUUCUGCUCGGUAAAUACAGGGUUUAAUAUUUAAUUGUUAACCUUUCUGAAUGUCUGUAGCUUGAGACUUUAAUUUCCCAAGACAGCCAGCUUCUCACUGUGAAGUACUGCUGUAACUGAGUGCAAGUCUUGCAAGAUCAUUCUUAAAGGUCUUGUACAAAAUCAUUAAUGAGGUGAAGGCCUGAACAGAUAUUCUGCAUUAGCUACUCUGAUACGGUAAUUCAGCUCUGAAAGUCUAUUUAUUGUUUUUUAUUAUGUUGUAAGAGGCCAAGGUACGUCAAAGUCAUCAGCUAGGCCUUCAGUUAGAAUGUAUCUGGGAAGCCCUACAGUUUGUAUUAUGGAAUAACUAAAACCAGUUGGAGGGUUAGUGACAACAUUGACAUUUUGACUACUUGAUUUAAUUACAAACUAUGAAUCUUUUCUGUACUACUUUCCUUGCUCAUCCCCAAGGCUUUCAGCAUAAGGGUCCGUUCAUCAAUUCUAUGAAACACACCAAAGAAAAGAAGCCUUGUGCAUCAAUUAGUACCUGAGGGCAGGCACCUUUCUUGGAGUGCACACGUCAGCGUACGGACAAGUGCAGAACUUGGUCUAUGAUUAAAUUUUUGAGCUAUUUUUUUACAAAAAUCUCUGAGCGUGUCUCUAAGUAGCAGGUCAGAGGCCUUCCCCCAGGCACUCUUCACAUCUCUUUGGUUAAGACAGCUGUGAAGGGACUGCUCACAGCUUAAUGCGGAAGGGAAAUGGUACCGCUGUAUGAAUAUGCACUGAAGCACAAAUCUGAAGAUUGCUGCAGAAGCACAUGUGUACAUAUGCUUCUAUCCGCCGGCAUAACUGAUUGAGCAGCUGACACUGGUGUGAUAAGGUAGAGGUUAAAAUAUCUCAUCUACAAAACUUGCGACCAUUCAAUAUAGUGAAAUCUUUAUGAGGCUUGCAGAGUAUUCCAGUAUUAGGAAUUCUGCUGUACAAAUGCAUUAAAACAGACUGCAUAAAUUCAACUGCUGGUGAACACGGUGUCACUGAAUAGUCAACAGAAUAAUCUUCUGUUGGAUCUUCCACAUUAUCAAACCUGUCACCUUGCCUUCUCAUAAUGUUACAACUUGUUUGCAGAUAAAUGAAAAAUUAAAUGUCAUGUCUUCUGGUAAGGGAGAUGUACAAAAGCACUAACAGUGCUCAGAUGUACCACUGUAUAAGUAAGUGGGCAGUUACAGGCAGGUCGAACUGCAAACUGGCCUUACCAGCUGCUCACGUGGAGUAAUUUCAUGUGGAGGACGCAAUCUCUGAAAUUCAGAGUGGCAUGUUUAGCCGGAAAAAACCCCACACCAAUAACCACUGGGACAGAUUUUGUCAAAGUUACAUCUAAAAAAGUCAUAGUGCAAUGUAUAAAUAGCAGUUUUGAGCACGGUGGACUCAGGGCUGCUUGUGAAUGGAGUAUGAGGUACCAGAAUUCUGACUUCAGGUUUCAUCUUUCUGUGCUUCUGAUCCCUACUGAGUUUAUGUUGUUACUUAAAGCACUGCAGGUACGGGGAAGAGGAGGCUAUGGCCGUAAUCCUGAAUUUGGAUUAACGCAUGCAGUUUAGUUUUCUUUCCCACUGCAAAGAAAAACAGAAGAAAAAUAAAGACAAGUGCUAGGAAAAACAGUCUUCCCUCCUCUGGAUUAAGAGAUGAAGAAUAAGUUAUCUGUGAGUAGGGCACGACUUCAGUGCAAAAAAAAGCAUUAUUCUCAAGACAAAUCCGUCAUGUUUCAGGUUAUGGAAAACAGGAAAGCUUGAAAGCAGCAUCUCAAGUUAUGGGAACACAUCUGCAGUAAUUAUGGGCUGAGGUACUGCAUGGUAAAGUUACUUUUUGCUAUUACUGAAUAUCUAGCUGUUUAGCACUGCUCUGAUCAAAACUGCAAAAAAAAGGGAAAAAAAGGUGUGUUACUCAUUUUAAGUAGAGAUCAUUCUUCUCAGUGCUAUGCUGGUAAAACAAACAAACAAAAAAACAACAAUAAAAGGGUGGAUUGACUGAAGAAACCAUGGCAAUUUAAAAAACACAGCAGCAAGAAAUAAUUUGAUUUUUUUUUCAGUAUUUCAUUGAGUUAUCGUGCUGUUUUGUCAUACAAGAACACCGAAAACCUCCUUGCUGAAAGGUGCAAUUUAAGAGUUGGAAAGCACUGGUUUCCAGUGGGCUGUAAUAACUUCUUCUGUGUUGCUGCCUUGAAGGUGACAUACUACAAGGUGAUAAAAGCACUUGGAGCACUGUCGUCUCCUCUGAUCACACUGAAGAAGAUUCUUAGGACCACUGAAGUCAAUUUCUUCCCUGACCCUCCUCUGUUACCUAUUUUGUGACUGCCUGCAAGGUCUUCCUAGGUCUGAUACUAGGCAAACUAUGUGUUUUAAGAACAUUUGCAGAGUAGAUUACAGACAUCCCAUUCCCCUUCGUGCAUUUAGGAUUUUUUGGUAAAAAUGCUUCAGCAGUUUUUCUGUUAAUAUUGAAGUUAGAAACCCUCAAGUUAAUGCCAAGGCAAAGCUUCCAGGAUUGAAAUAGUACUAAAACUAAGUAUGUGUAGUUCCUAGGAAUGUUUGAGUUUUUAUAUGUUUGUAUUAAGAACAAGUCUCUCUUUAUCACUUUAAAUUCUUUAAUUUUAGAAGUUGUUGAAGACAGUGUUUUCCAAGCAGCGUGCAUCGACAGCUCUGGUCAAAACACAGUACUUCUUUCUAGUAUACUUAUCAUACCAAAAGCAUACCAUGAAGUCACAUUGCAGUAAAUUGGCACAAUGAGUUUUGCAAGAACUAAACUUGUUUUAAAAAGUGAUUAAGUAAACUUGCACAUCAACAUUUUAAUAGCUAUAAAAAUGUUGCUUCCAGCUCCUACAAAACACGCUAAAGAGAUAUCCCCACAAGAGCUGAAAAACUACGCACAAACAAAGGUCAGUAUCAUAGGAAGAGAGGUUUUAUACAAAUGAAGCAAUCAGGCAGUUAAAAGUAUUUACUUUUUCCUGCUGCUAACUAGACAAACAUACAGUAGUCAGAUAAAAAUAUACUACAACUCUAAGUCUUGUAACAUAUAGGAUUUUCUAGUUUCUCUUCUAAAUGGAAAUUCGCAUUUUGAAAUGUGUUACCUGUUAAUACUGGAUGAAACUAUUGGCAAGUGUUUAAAUACUUUUAAACCAAGAUUAAAGGGGCUUUUAUUUCACAAAAAAAAAAACCAACCAAAAAACAUUUUAAAAUACUAUGCUUAUAAAAUUAUUUAAAACUUUCAGCAGUCUAUAGAUUUCAAAUGCAAUCCUCUUCAACUAGAAUUAAAAAACAAAAGAAAACAACUCCAGUGGUGUCAUUUGUUUUCAAAGGCAGAUUCUUUUGCUGGUUUUUCAAGCUCUCUCUCUUCACCACAUGUCCUAGAAUUACAAUAAAAGAACAUUAACAACCAUGAGAAAAUGCGGAGAGCAGGUCUUACUCCAGAUUUUUUAAAUGAAGAGUAGAGGUAAAUGAUACUGAUAGAAAUUCAGCAGAUGAAGUCUGGAAACUGAAGGAGUAUGGAUACCAACUGCCUGCCUUCUUUUAAGUGGACUGUCCCCAGACAUGAAACUAAGGUAGCAGUAACCAACACCACGUGAAUGAGCGUGAAGAGUUGUGAACAGCAGCCAUUCAGAGGUUGGAUUGUGUUCCAUUCAGGUAGUCCUGCAGCGUCCUCUGACAAAUACAUCAACUCAGAUGGAAAAGCAGCCUGGCUUUUUUUCUGCAUGGAAGAUUCUCAUUAACAUAACGUUACUGCUUUUAUUAGUAGCCCCAGGCAACCUCAGGAACCACCAUAUCUUUCUACCAACAGAAAGUGGCUAUUAAGUACAAAAUCACUAUGGAAGUAUUAGACAACUUCUGUCUUCCAAAAUUUUUGAAAUGCAUAUUCAGAAAUGCAAGAAUGCGUCUUGCCUCUAGUUAACAAAGGGAACACAAUUCAGAACGGAGUAUGCAGCCUUGCACCUGAGAAGUUUAUAGACUACAUGCUUAGAUUCAGGAGUGGGGACUGCAAGGGUACUUUGAAUAUUCAUGUAUUUGUGGUUAUUUGCAUACCAGUUUCACUUCUGAAAACCAGAGCACUGCACACCAGUGUGUAGCUUUCUUGAAUUGAGACAGGUAUGUAGACGCUUUUCUCAAUCCAAGGUAUUCAUUAGAGGUUUUGCAAGUUCUGUUUUACAUUCAUUGUUUGUUAACAAAAGCUGUGCAAAAUUUUACACGGUGUAGGGUUGAUUUCGUUGUUUAGAAAAAUCAAAUAAGUGUUGGAGUGUGUGCAGUUCAAGGCCAUAGCAAACAUUUGUAGAGACAAGUCUUUAUUGGCAGAACAUGUAACCCCAAAUUAGCUCCUUCACAAAACAUGUAUUUGCAAGUUCCACAGAUAAAAUCGUAAUUACUGAAGUAUUAAAACUUA